GAUGAACGCUGGCGGCGUGCCUAAUACAUGCAAGUCGAGCGAACGGACGAGAAGCUUGCUUCUCUGAUGUUAGCGGCGGACGGGUGAGUAACACGUGGAUAACCUACCUAUAAGACUGGGAUAACUUCGGGAAACCGGAGCUAAUACCGGAUAAUAUUUUGAACCGCAUGGUUCAAAAGUGAAAGACGGUCUUGCUGUCACUUAUAGAUGGAUCCGCGCUGCAUUAGCUAGUUGGUAAGGUAACGGCUUACCAAGGCAACGAUGCAUAGCCGACCUGAGAGGGGGAGCGGCCACACUGGCACUGAGACACGGUCCAGACUCCGACGGGAGGCAGCACGAGGGAAUAUUCAGCAAUGUGCUAAAGUCUGACGGAGUAACUACGAGGGAAUGAUGAAGGUAUACGGAUCGGAAAACUCUGUUAUUAGGGAAGAACAAAUGUGUAAGGAAAUAUGCACGUCUGGACGGGAACUAAUCAGAAAGCCACGGCUAACUACGUG
rnacentral:rRNA from 1 species